rnacentral:rRNA from 1 species
UGGGGAAUAUUGCACAAUGGGCGCAAGCCUGAUGCAGCCAUGCCGCGUGUAUGAAGAAGGCCUUCGGGUUGUAAAGUACUUUCAGUCGGGAGGAAGGUGUCAAGGUUAAUAACCUUGGCAAUUGACGUUACCGACAGAAGAAGCACCGGCUAACUCCGUGCCAGCAGCCGCGGUAAUACGGAGGGUGCAAGCGGUAAUCGGAAUUACUGGGCGUAAAGCGUACGCAGGCGGUCUGUCAAGUCGGAUGUGAAAUCCCCGGGCUCAACCUGGGAACUGCAUUCGAAACUGGCAGGCUAGAGUCUUGUAGAGGGGGGUAGAAUUCCAGGUGUAGCGGUGAAAUGCGUAGAGAUCUGGAGGAAUACCGGUGGCCAAGGCGGCCCCCUGGACAAAGACUGACGCUCAGGUGCGAAAGCGUGGGGAGCAAACAGG